rnacentral:rRNA from 1 species
GACGGAGGAGGCAAGCGUUAUCCGGAAUUACUGGGCGUAAAGCGUCCGUAGGUGGUGUGUCAAGUCUGGGGUUAAACCCCGGAGCUCAACCCCGGAACUGCCAUGGAAACUGGCAGACUUGAGUGAGGUAGGGGUUGCUGGAAUUCCCGGUGUAGCGGUGAAAUGCGUAGAUAUCGGGAAGAACACCAGCGGCGAAAGCGCGCAACUGGGCCAUUACUGACACUGAGGCACGAAAGCUAGGGGAGCGAAUGGG